rnacentral:rRNA from 1 species
GAUGAACGCUAGCGACAGGCUUAACACAUGCAAGUCGAGGGGCAGCGGGGAUGAAGCUUGCUUCAUCCGCCGGCGACCGGCGCACGGGUGAGUAACACGUAUGCAACCUGCCCCUGGCUGGGGGAUAAGCCGGAGAAAUCCGGUCUAAUACCGCGUAACAUCCUUGCGGGACAUCCCGUUAGGAUCAAAGGAAGCGAUUCCGGCCAGGGAUGGGCAUGCGGCGCAUUAGCUAGUCGGCGGGGUAACGGCCCACCGAGGCGACGAUGCGUAGGGGUUCUGAGAGGAAGGUCCCCCACACUGGUACUGAGACACGGACCAGACUCCUACGGGAGGCAGCAGUGAGGAAUAUUGGUCAAUGGGCGCGAGCCUGAACCAGCCAAGUCGCGUGAGGGAAGACGGUCCUAUGGAUUGUAAACCUCUUUUGCCGGGGAGCAAGCUGUGCCACGUGUGGCGCAGCUGAGAGUACCCGGAGAAAAAGCAUCGGCUAACUCCGUGCCAGCAGCCGCGGUAAUACGGAGGAUGCGAGCGUUAUCCGGAUUUAUUGGGUUUAAAGGGUGCGUAGGCGGACUGUCAAGUCAGCGGUAAAAUUGAGAGGCUCAACCUCUUCCCGCCGUUGAAACUGGUGGUCUUGAGUGGAUGAGAAGUACGCGGAAUGCGUGGUGUAGCGGUGAAAUGCAUAGAUAUCACGCAGAACUCCGAUUGCGAAGGCAGCGUACCGGCAUCCAACUGACGCUGAGGCACGAAAGCGUGGGGAUCAAACAGGAUUAGAUACCCUGGUAGUCCACGCAGUAAACGAUGAAUGCUAGGUGUCCGGGUCGAGUGAGACCUGGGUGCCACAGCGAAAGCGUUAAGCAUUCCACCUGGGGAGUACGCCGGCAACGGUGAAACUCAAAGGAAUUGACGGGGGCCCGCACAAGCGGAGGAACAUGUGGUUUAAUUCGAUGAUACGCGAGGAACCUUACCCGGGCUCAAACGUCGGAGGACGGAGAGUGAAAGCUUUCUUUCCCACGGGACUUCCGACGAGGUGCUGCAUGGUUGUCGUCAGCUCGUGCCGUGAGGUGUCGGCUUAAGUGCCAUAACGAGCGCAACCCCCGCCGGCAGUUGCUAACGGGCAAUGCCGAGGACUCUGCCGGGACUGCCGCCGCAAGGCGAGAGGAAGGCGGGGAUGACGUCAAAUCAGCACGGCCCUUACGUCCGGGGCGACACACGUGUUACAAUGGGCGGUACAGCGGGAAGCCAGGCGGCGACGCCGAGCGGAACCCGAAAGCCGUUCUCAGUUCGGAUCGGAGUCUGCAACCCGACUCCGUGAAGCUGGAUUCGCUAGUAAUCGCGCAUCAGCCAUGGCGCGGUGAAUACGUUCCCGGGCCUUGUACACACCGCCCGUCAAGCCAUGGGAGCCGGGGGUGCUUGAAGUGCGUCGCCGCGAGGCGCGCCCUAGAGCAAAACCGGUGACUGGGGCUAAGUCGUAACAAGGUAGCCGUACCGGAAGGUGCGGCUGGAACACCUCCUUUCUGGAGACCUUAAGCGUCUGAAACGCAGCAGGUCUUGGUAGCGUCAUUCGGGGGAUUAGCUCAGCUGGCUAGAGCACCUGCUUUGCAAGCAGGGGGUCAACGGUUCGAAUCCGUUAUUCUCCACUAUCAGAAUAGGACAAUGACAAGGCUGGAAGCGAGAGUCGAUUAAAAAGUCGGCUCAGCGAGAAGACAAGAGUAGAAACACAACAAAAAGUUUCACGAGCAAAUCGAAAGGCGACAAUGUCGAACUUAGUUUCGUACAUAAAUAUAUGCCGAAAGGCAUAAAAGAAAUAACGGAACGAACAAGGGCGCAUGGGGGAUGCCUUGGCUCUCGGAGGCGAAGAAGGACGUGACAAGCUGCGAAAAGCUGCGGCGAGUGGCAAAUACACAGUGACCCGCAGAUAUCCGAAUGGGGCAACCCGUAGGGAGCGAUCCCUACAUCAGUCGGCACGACUGAGGCGAACGUGGGGAACUGAAACAUCUUAGUACCCGCAGGAAGAGAAAGUAACAACGAUUCUCCCAGUAGCGGCGAGCGAACGGGGAAGAGCCCAAACCGGCGGCGUUUCGGCGCGUGCCGGGGUUAUAGGACCGCUCAAAGGUGCAUGCGAGCGUAGCGGAAGGAGAUGGAAUGCUCCCCCCGCAGACGGUGAGAGGCCGGUACGCGAAACGCAGACAUGCCAGGAGCGGCACCUGAGUAGGGCGGGACACGAGAAAUCCCGUCUGAAUUAUCGGGGACCAUCCCGAAAGGCUAAAUACUACCGAGAGACCGAUAGCGAACC